rnacentral:rRNA from 1 species
UACAGAGGUCCCAAGCGUUGUUCGGAUUCACUGGGCGUAAAGGGUGCGUAGGUGGUGAGGUAAGUCGGAUGUGAAAGCUCGGAGCUCAACUCCGAAAUGGCAUUGGAAACUACCUUGCUCGAGGGUUGGAGGGGGGACUGGAAUGCUUGGUGUAGCAGUGAAAUGCGUAGAUAUCAAGCGGAACACCAGUGGCGAAGGCGAGUCCCUGGACAACUCCUGACACUGAGGCACGAAAGCCAGGGGAGCGAACGGG